rnacentral:rRNA from 1 species
AUUGAACGCUGGCGGCAUGCCUUACACAUGCAAGUCGAACGGCAGCACGGGGGCAACCCUGGUGGCGAGUGGCGAACGGGUGAGUAACAUAUCGGAACGUGCCCUGGAGUGGGGGAUAACUAGUCGAAAGACUAGCUAAUACCGCAUACGACCUGUAGGUGAGAGCCUAUGGAUGAAAGUGGGGGACCGCAAGGCCUCAUGCUCGUGGAGCGGCCGAUAUCUGAUUAGCUAGUGGGCGGGGUAAGAGCCCACCAAGGCGACGAUCAGUAGCUGGUCUGAGAGGACGACCAGCAACACUGGGACUGAGACACGGCCCAGACUCCUACGGGAGGCAGCAGUGGGGAAUUUUGGACAAUGGGCGCAAGCCUGAUCCAGCAAUGCCGCGUGCAGGAAGAAGGCCUUCGGGUUGUAAACUGCUUUUGUACGGAACGAAACGGCCCUCUCUAAUACAGAGGGCUAAUGACGGUACCGUAAGAAUAAGCACCGGCUAACUACGUGCCAGCCGCCGCAGUAAAAC